UGGCUGAGUGGUAAAGCGCUCGGCUUCCAAACCAGGGGUCCCAGGUUCAAAUCCUGG
rnacentral:tRNA from 1 species